UUUCUUCGAGCUGUUUUUAGCCAGGUACCUUUCUUCCUAUCAAACUAGGCCUUUCAUGUCCAAUCCUCCAGAAUACUUCUCGUCUAGAACUGUGAACAAUAAUGAUCUUUCAUAAAUUUUAAGUUUUGCGAAACUGUCCUUUGGAGCAGUUCUGUUGUUUUGUUCUUUAUAAAGUGGAAGUUGAUUUGUUAUAGUUUGAGGUUAGUAGCCUGUGGAGUAAUUAUGGUUUUUGAUCGAGUGAACUUCUUUGAGCAUGGGGUGGAACAUCUUAAUUAAAAUGUCUAUAGUCUUUUCUCACCUAAUUUUUGUAAAAGGGUUGUUUGUUUUUGCUUCCAUGAGCUUGAUGUCAUUGCUUUAUUUGUGGUUAAUGGUUUGUUUGCCCCAGUUAAGGAAUAUAUGCUUUUGUACCUUUUCAAAGAUGAUGAUUGACACCUUUACCAUUCAGAUUGCCAUUGUUUAUUACUAUUAUAUUUUGCGCAAUUCAAGCUAUUCCCCUUUCUCUAGCCUGGUGCUUUCUGCUCACACUUCACUUUUCCUAGCUAUAUGUUAUUGUCCAUCUUUUGCUUGUUAAGCUAGAGCAAUACUUUUGUUAUUUCAUUAAUUGAUUGGAAUAAAUAGGUGAAUGAGAAUCACAAUUAGAGUCAAGGCUGUUGUGGCCAAAUGGUCGUUGGAUGCUUAUAUAUAUGCCUUGUAGAUGCACAUGUUGCAUUAUCAUUCCCUAAUUAUGAAUUGAUGUUACUUUUGUGAAUGUUUAAUGGUUGAGGAAUGUUCAGUCAUAAUACCACCACCUGACACCUGUAAUAGGUUUGUGACUGGCGUAUGCAUGCUUUGCUAAUAGAAACCUGCAAGAGUAAUUUAUACCAAAAAAAAAAAGUCUGUAUGGGCUGACUCUUAAUAAUUUCUCUGAGCAGAAAAAGCUUCUUUUUGAUAAUUGGAAGUAAUCUUGGAAAACUUGUAUAUAGAAAAGCGUUCUACCAUAGAAAGAAACAAGCAAAGGAAAAUUGAAUUGUUUCUAAAUAUGUUUUCAUGUCAUUAUAGUCAAUGGUUUACAACCUCAAGAAAGCUUUGGGUUGUUAUUACUAAGAAGCUUGCUUUACUGUAUGGAGUAUUCUUGAUUAUGGUUUCUUUGUUUGCCAUGGGUGUUGUUUUACAUGGAGUUGGAUAAUCUGCUUGAUUUGCAGGUCAUCUGUGCGUGUGUAGUUUCAAUAAGGUUUUAUAUUGAUUUUAGUGAUGGUGAAAAGGUGGGAUGAGGUAGGUCAAUCUGGGUUUAAAAUAUUCUUCUGGGUUAGGAAUGAAAGCAGUAGCUCAUGGUCAACUGUGGAUUUUAGGUUCUUAUUCUUUAUUUGGUUAUUUUGUGUCUCUGACUCUAUGUAUUUUCCCCUGCUCUUUUGGGGCCAUUGUUUUGAUUUUCUAUUAUCUUCUGCUACUUGUGCAGAAAACAAUCAACCUUGAUGAG
rnacentral:misc_RNA from 1 species